rnacentral:rRNA from 1 species
AGAGUUUGAUCCUGGCUCAGGAUGAACGCUAGCGGCAGGCUUAACACAUGCAAGUCGAGGGGCAGCACGGGUAGCAAUACUUGGUGGCGACCGGCGCAAGGGUGCGUAACGCGUGAGCAACAUGCCCGUAUCAGGGGGAUAAUCCAGGGAAACUUGGUCUAAUACCCCAUAGUAAUCUUAGGAGGCAUCUUUUAGGAUUUAAAGCUUUGGUGGAUACGGAUUGGCUCGCGUGACAUUAGCUAGAUGGUAAGGUAACGGCUUACCAUAGCUAUGAUGUCUAGGGGUUCUGAGAGGAAGGUCCCCCACACUGGAACUGAGACACGGUCCAGACUCCUACGGGAGGCAGCAGUGAGGAAUAUUGGACAAUGGAUGGAAAUCUGAUCCAGCCAUGCCGCGUGAAGGAAGAAUGUCCUAUGGAUUGUAAACUUCUUUUGUAUGGGAGCAAUAAGGUCUUCGUGAAGACUGAUGAGAGUACCAUACGAAUAAGCAUCGGCUAACUCCGUGCCAGCCGCCGCGGUAAUUC